GUUUGUUUGUUUAGUUAGCUAGUUAGUUAGUUUUUGUCACACCUAACAAAUUACAAUCAGAAACUUGCGGCACCGCGACUCGUUCCUUCACUUCAACUAUUUAAUAAAUAUUUUUCUAUGUUCUACCAAACUCA